GGAGGCUUAACACAUGCAAGUCGAGGGGUAAGGUCUGCUUCGGCAGAUACACGACCGGCGCACGGGUGAGUAACGCGUAUGUAACCUGCCCAUCAGAGAGGGAUAGGCCAGAGAAAUUUGGAUUAAUACCUCAUAACAUCAAUUUGUGGCCUCACAGAUUGAUCAAAAUUUCGGUGCUGAUGGAUGGGCAUGCGUGUCAUUAGCUAGUUGGUAGGGUAAAGGCCUACCAAGGCAACGAUGGCUAGGGGGUCUGAGAGGAUGGUCCCCCACACUGGUACUGAGACACGGACCAGACUCCUACGGGAGGCAGCAGUGAGGAAUAUUGCGCAAUGGGCGAAAGCCUGACGCAGCCAUCCCGCGUGCAGGAUUGACGGCCCUAAGGGUUGUAAACUGCUUUUCUGCAAGAAGAAAGAUGUCUACGUGUAGAUGUUUGCCGGUAUUGCAGGAAAAAGCAUCGGCUAACUCCGUGCCAGCAGCCGCGGUAAUACGGAGGACGCGAGCGUUAUCCGGAAUCACUGGGUUUAAAGGGUGCGCAGGCUGAAUAGUAAGUCAGAGGUGAAAAUCCAUAGCUUAACUGUGGACUUGCCUUUGAUACUGUUAUUCUUGAGUGCAGUUGAAGUGGGCGGAAUAUAGCAUGUAGCGGUGAAAUGCAUAGAUAUGCUAUAGAACACCGAUUGCGAAGGCAGCUCGCUAAGCUGUAACUGACGCUGAGGCACGAAAGCUUGGAUAGCAAACAGGAUUAGAUACCCUGGUAGUCCAGGCUGUAAACGAUGAACACUCGCUGUUGGCAAUACAUGGUCAGCGGCUGAGCGAAAGCGUUCAGUGUUCCACCUGGGAAGUACCGAUCGCCAGGUUGAAACUCAAAGGCAUGACGGGGGCCCGCACAAGCGGAGGAGCAUGUGGUUUAAUUCCGAUGAUACGCGA
rnacentral:rRNA from 1 species